rnacentral:ncRNA from 23 species
AAUAAGUCAACGACCAUGCGUGGACAGUAAAACGAAGUACAUGCGAAUGUAGUAGCCGUUUACUAUGAGACUAGGCAUUAUAAUUGAAUAUCAUAGUAUAAAUUGCCAUGAGAGUAGAAGCUUCAGUUUAUGAAGACUUCGAAAUCAUGG